rnacentral:lncRNA from 1 species
GGUGUCUUCCGGGAAUGAGAAGAAGAGAGGUCGUGCGAUGGGAGUGCCUUUUGAAUGGGCUUCAUACAUUAACAUGUAGAGAUAAGGGAGCAUUUGGUAACGAAGGCUGAGGACUUUUCGAGAUGUUGCUGCUACUGAAUCCCAAAGGUAAAGCUCUUGUCUUGUGCUUUGUAUGUCGGAAUGGUCUCUUGCAAAUGGGUAAAAAGCACCUAACUGCAAAUCACAUAGUUUGAAAAUUACUCAACGAUAACAUUUUGCUUUCUAUGUUUUUUUACACUACAAUCACAGUGAAAAUUGCUUUGUAUUUGAAAGAUCAUGUUGUAAGUGGAAAUGUUUUCCAAGGUUUAAUGUUGUAAUAGGAAAAUGGAAAAUGGAGACCGGAUGAUAUAAUUUAUCAAAAUAAAUUUAAAAAUAGGAUACUAGUUUUGGCAUAUAACCCUAAAAUACUAUAUACUUGGGUUAAAUGCACAAAAUAACAACUAAAACUUUCAUAUAUAUAUAUANNNNNNNNNNNNNNNNNNNNNNNNNNNNNNNNNNNNNNUAUAUAUAUUUGAGUAUUAUAGCAUCCUAGUUUCCUUUCUUUGUAUUGUAUCAGUGUACUUUCAAUUUUUUUUCUAAUGUGGUUUGACUAACUAUUAACUAAGACAUUGUACUUUCAAUUUUAUCCUUAAAAGACAUUAUACUUUGAAAAAUCUACCAAAUUAUAGUAGUGAAAAUUGCUUUGUAUUUUGGAAGACAUUGCUAUAAUUGUAUAGUUUUGUCAAAAUACAAUGUUGGAAUAGGAAGAAAUGAAAGUAUAAACAAUUCAAUGAAUGUAUGUCGCUAGUUUUGCAUCUAACCCUUGUAAUUUCAAAAAGCCUAAAAUUAUUACAUGUUCAACUGUCUUACUUCUUGAAAUCUCUAAAUAAAUUGUGCUUUCAGAUAUUUUUUGAAAACAAAGGGUUCACAAUGCGUACCUGAAUCCAUCGCUGACAGAGUUCUUCGGUAGUAUUUCCGAAAAAGCCACAAAUAUCAGCCCCCACCAUUGGAAUCCCAAACAACCCGGAAUUCAAAAUACUCGGAAUGGAAUAC